rnacentral:rRNA from 1 species
CGGCGAGUGAAGCGGCAACAGCUCAAAUUUGAAAUCUGGCCUCCCUUGGGGGUCCGAGUUGUAAUUUGCAGAGGGUGCUUUGGCGUCGGCAGCGGUCUAAGUUCCUUGGAACAGGACAUCACAGAGGGUGAGAAUCCCGUACGUGGUCGCCUGCCUUCGCCGUGUAAAGCCCCUUCGACGAGUCGAGUUGUUUGGGAAUGCAGCUCUAAAUGGGAGGUAAAUUUCUUCUAAAGCUAAAUACCGGCCAGAGACCGAUAGCGCACAAGUAGAGUGAUCGAAAGAUGAAAAGCACUUUGGAAAGAGAGUCAAACAGCACGUGAAAUUGUUGAAAGGGAAGCGCUUGCAGCCAGACUUGCUCGUAGUUGCUCAUCCGGGUCCGCCCGGAGCACUCUUCUGCGAGCAGGCCAGCAUCAGUUUGGGCGACCGGAUAAAGGCCUCUGUCAUGUACCUUCCCUCGGGAAGGCCUUAUAGGGGAGGCGUAAUGCGGCCAGCCCGGACUGAGGUCCGCGCAUCUGCUAGGAUGCUGGCGUAAUGGCUGUAAGCGGCCCGUCUUGAAACACGGACCAAGGAGUCUAACAUCUAUGCGAGUGUUUGGGUGUCAAGCCCGGGCGCGUAAUGAAAGUGAACGGAGGUGGGAACCCUCUCCGGGGGGUGCACCAUCGACCGAUCCUGAUGUCUUCGGAUGGAUUUGAGUAAGAGCAUAGCUGUUGGGACCCGAAAGAUGGUGAACUAUGCUUGAAUAGGGUGAAGCCAGAGGAAACUCUGGUGGAGGCUCGCAGCGGUUCUGACGUGCAAAUCGAUCGUCAAAUUUGGGCAUAGGGGCGAAA